rnacentral:lncRNA from 1 species
AUCAGAACAAUGUAAGAUAAAAUUAACAGAAUCCCAAGACUGUACAGUAUACGGUAUGUUUACUUGAGGCAGACAGAAUCAUUAUGGACCUUUUUUUCUCUCUUAAGACUGACAGUCCACAAAUUAAAAAGCUCAAUUCUACAUGAUGGUAAUGGCAGAAGAAUGCUUCAGAAUGCAUGCAGCCAUAGUUAGAUCAGGUUGAAUGCUUCCCCUUCUAGUCACACACACACACACACACAAUGAGCAUGGCUACAACACAGGAAGCUGACUAUAUAAUGGUGCCGGAGGGGAUGGCUGCCGUUUUAUGGCUGAAAUUUAUGGGCUCAAACUCAUUUUGUACAUAAUGUUGCUACUAACGUCUUUAACGAAAAUAGCUUCUGGACAUCAGAACAGCACAACUCACCUCGAACUGGACAAAGAUUUCUUCUUUAAUGAGUCCAACGCAAAGGAUAUACUGCUUCCCAGAGACCAGGCACAAAUCCCUGUCAUUCGUGUGAAGAAAAGAUGGAAAUACAGUGGGCGGAGGUCUGGGCGCAUUGUGAGAAUUCGUCGCCAAGAGUGCUGAGUUUGGUCUCGUGUGGGCCGGUCAGAGAAUACGACAACGACGACACCGCAGUCGAGCCACAAUCCCAAUCCUCCGAGCCCACUCGGCAGCAUACAUCAAAGUCCUGUUUCAUUUAAACCCUAUUUCAUGCAUUCAUUUCAUGGUGGUGCUCUUGUCAAAGCGCGGGUUUCGGGGAUGAACGUAACCCAGGUUUAUAAGGCUUAGAGGAAUUUGAGCACCACACAACCAGCUGUGUGUGUCUGUGUGUGUGCAUGCCGUGCAGGAUGUUAGGCAUUAAUAUGUGUAUUUGUGUUCAUAUGGUUAUAUGAGUAUAUCAAUGAAGUUGUGACAGGGUUGGGUAGGUUACUUUCUAAAUGUAAUCUGUUACAGUUACUAGUUACCUGUCCAAAAUUGUAUUCACUAAUGUAACUUUUGGAUUACCCAAACUCAGAAAUGCAAUCUGAUUACUUUCUGUUACUUUUGGAUUACUUUCCCCUUAAGAGGCUUUAGAUGAAGAUAAAAAGGAUCCAUCAAAAGUAUUUGUUGUGUCAUUAUAGUGGUCUCUGACUUGUGGUCAGACUCACUUAGGUGGAACAAAGGUGUCAUCAUUUUCUCCUGAGGUAGGCUAUCCAAUGGUGACUGGACAACUCUCAUAGGGGGCUUAAAAAGGAUUAGACUGAAUUAAAGCUG